UUUUUUUUUUUUUUUUUUUUGCUUUUUAGGGCUGCAUAUGGAGGUUCCCAGGCUAGGGGUUGAAUCAGAGCUACAGCUGCCAGCCUACACCACAGCCACAGCAAUGUAGGAUCCAAGCCGCGUCUGCGAUCUACAUCACAGCUCGCAGCCAUGCCGGAUCCUUAACCCAUUGAGCAAGGCCAAGGAUCGAACCUGCAACCUCACGGUUCCUAGUUGGAUUCGUUUCCACUGUGCCACGACGGGAACUACAAGCAGCAAAAUAAUUUCUUGAAAGGACCUCAGGUAACUUGCAGAAACCGAUCUUCAGUUACAGGGUAUUUAGUAUUUUGAAUUCUAAAGAAUUCAAACACAUGGCAGGAAAAAAUAUAUAUUUGUUCCAGAAAAUUGUAAACUUAUCUUCGCCCCUGCUUUCUCAAGAAGACAUAUAGGCAGGUAGCUGAGGGUUUCUGGUUUCCUGGGAACAAAGUCUUAGUCAGGGCGGAGGCCUUGCUACGCUAGAUCACAGCCUUACAGCCUGAGGACGAAGGGAAGCCCAGGGCUAACUCUGCAAAAAAAGGAGGUGGGGGUAGAGGAGACCCCGGAGAAGACAGAGGCUUGGGAUCACUUGAGGGGAGAGAGGGCUGUUUGCUGUAGCCCUCCUUCCAUCUCUAGAGAGAAAUCCUCAGUACAAUGCCCAUUUCUCACGGCAGCCUUGCGGCCCAGUUUUGCUUUGGGGUAAUUGAGGGAAGCACUGAGCCCUGCUCCUUGGUGAAGGGAGUGAGUGGAGGCGGUGAAAGGCUGACACACCUGCACUGUAUUUUCGGACCCUGCCUGGGCUUUGGAUGGGCCAUUCAAAUCUCGAGUGAAUCUGGGUUUCCAUCAUUACUCUAAAUAAAAAGCCAAACAUACAGCAUUGCACCUACAGUAGACCAAUGCACUACAUUUUGUUAAGAGAGUAAGUCUCAUGUUGAAUGUUCCUACCGGCCUAAAAAAUUUAACAACCGAACAUGCUUCUCCCCACCCCAGUGCUGCAAAAGUGCCAGGGCAGAGGCUGAUUCAGCCCAAGGAAAGAUGACCCUGGGAUAUUACCUCAACACCAGAGGGAAGUUGUGACUGUGAGGUCAGCAUGCUGGCCUGAUCAAGAAUGGACUUUUCAGAAAGUGUAUUAGUCAGGAUCCUUUGGGUUGCAAAUCAUGGAAAUUCAUCUCUCACAUGUUAAUCAAAACAAACAAACAACACCCAAAAACGUAAAAGGGGAAGGUGGAAUUACUGGCUCACAUAAAUGUGAAAGGCAGGAGUAGCGCUAGCUUCAGGAACGGCUAGAUCCAGGCACACAAGUCAGGUUGCCAGGUGUUUAUCGCCAUCUCACCACUCUGUCCUUUUUUUGUGUGGGCUUCUCUCCCAGUUUAUGUCCCUCCUGGAGGGGCAAGAUGGCCCCCCAAAGUACCAUCCCAAUAUCACCCCUGCUGGAAAGAGCUGACUUUCCCAACCGUUCUGAGGAAAGUAUCAGGAUUGAGUCUCAUGGAACUGGCUGGGUUAUUUCCCCAACCAUGGAGUUAGGAGAAUGGGGUGAGCCACACAGGAACUCCUUGAACUGAGAGCACAGGCAGGAAAAAUCUCUUAAAGGAAGUCAAGGUAUUUCUGAUACCAGGAAUGGGAAAACAGCAGUCCGUGACAAAUGGAGACACGCAUCCUAUGAAGUGAGCUCAGGAGACAGAUAUAAAAACAACAACAACAAACUUCCUUGUGUCACCCCGGCUGGAAAUUGGUGUUUAAUCCAGGCUUGAAGGACACAUGACUUACUAAGAAACGAGAGUGUCUCCAGGAAGGGGUGAGGCGGACUGGGGCAGAUACCCUUGGCUGAUUUGGGUCCCACGCCUCCCCUUCUAGCCUUAGCUUCAGAGACAGGAUUUCCUGGAGCGGGAGCUGUCGCUGUAGAGCUGGCUACCAGACAAACUCUGAAACCUUGGUCAAGGCCACAUGCUGCCAGACAAGAGGGACGUUUGCAGGGACUGCAGCCCCAGGGACAAGAGAGGAGAAUGCUGAAUUGUGGUUAGAGCUUCAGUGCAUCGUUAGAGGAGGAUGGUCGGAGAGAGGGGGAAACGGAGCCACAGUUUAGAGGUUUUAGGCUCUGGCAGCAGGAACCAAACGCGGAUUCGAAGCUGCCCAUCGGGGCCUCCAUCUCUGCACGAGAAUGACCAGUGCUGCUUGAAGGCAUGGGCAGUGGAAAGGGAGGUGCCGGGAUUCCUCUGUCUCUGAGACAGCAGAGAGGAGAGAAGCGCUCCCCACACACAGUAGAACAGUAGAUAAAAGAGAUCUGUGCUGUGAGCCAUGAGCCGUAGGACGAGAUGUGCUUGAUCACAGCUUGGAGAAUCUGGCCCUGCGGGAGCAGAGAGAUAACCGUGGGUACAAGGGACACAGUCACAGUUUCCCCCGUCGCGCUGCCGCAAAGCAUUGGAAUGGCAGACAGCUUACAAAUGUAUUAAAGCAAAAGGGCAUUUUCAGAGAGAGAGAACGCACAUGAGCACAGGUUAAAAAAGAGGGCCUGGGAGGUCCCAUCGUGGCGCAGCAGCAAAUGAACCCGACUAGCCAGGGAUCGAACCCGCAACCUCAUGGUUCCUAGUUGGGUUCUUAACCUGUUGAGCCAGGAUGGGAACUCCCAUGACCUUUCUUGUUCCAGGUCCUGGGAACUGCUUCUCAGCCCCUUUAGCCAUUCAGGCCUAGAGGUGGGGACAGCUCUGCUGCCAGCUCCACGUUAGUACACUUGAAGUCACCCUGUGCUUUGUAAUUAGGCCCUGUAUAAACAAACCGCCUGCCACUUUCAGGAGAUGGGGAGCUUGGCGCCGAGGCAGGAGGGGGUCUACCUUGUGCUACGGAGUAGGGGUGUCAGAGAUCUGGGGACCGGGUUUGUCUCUAAAGUGAGAGAGCGGAUCGGGCCUGAACAUCCCACCAGCUCUCCUGGGCUCUUUCAAUGCUAAUGCGUCCACAUUUCAAGCCACCACGGUUCCACAUCUCCCCUAGUUCUCUCUCUUCCCCAGCAAAGCUGAGUAUGUGUGGGAGGCAGAGGAAGCAGGGCCAAAUGGGGCAUCCAGGAGGCUCCCUCGAAGAGAGUGGGGGCCUGUGGGGAGGGAAAGGGGCCUCUCCCCCUGGAUGCUCUCUGAGCUGGGACUCUGCAGGCUCAUCCUGGUGCUGCAGCUGGAAUCAAGUGUGGUGAGAAAGUGGGGCUGUGGGCAGGGGGGACCUACGAGACUGGGGCUGUUUGUGAACACAGAGAGUGGAUUAGAGAGUUCUAAAGACAGGCGGCUCAUGGAAGGGCCUACGUCAGCAAGCUUGUCAGGAUCAAGAUAUUGGGGGGCCUGGGAGGAACAUGGGGCACCCCUCCCAGUUCCUCAUACUUGCCAUGGCUCCAUAUGAAAGAGCGUGAGGUUGAGAGGAGGCACAGAGGGCCAGCCAGCAGCCACAAGGAGUAGGGUCCCCCAUUUGGGGGAGGGGCUGGGGACAGACCCAUGGUAGGGACAAAGGAAGGCCAGGCAGCCCCUGUCCGUGGAAGUCCUUGGCAAUGAGGGGCCAAGGGAGAGCUGAGUGACACCCAGGAAGUCACGGGUGUUCCCUCUGUGGACAUCACCACAUCACAGAGGCCACCAAGGGCAAACAGAACCGGAGCAAGGUCAGGGACAGGUCUCUGAAGCAGAAUGAAGCCGGGGGGGCAAGAGAGCUCACAGGCCUUCUCUCCACCCCCAGGAGUUAGUGAUGAGAAAAGAGAGCGGAGCAUGCCCCUGGCCUAUCACGGUCCCCAGCCACCAAGCCUCUCUAGUCACAUUCUAGCCUGGGUGGGGUAGAGGGUUGCUGUGAAUUGGGUAAGAGGUUGAAGUUUUUGCUUUGUUUUUUGUCUUUUUUUUUUUGCCUUUUCCAGGGCCAGCAUAUGGAGGUUCCCAGGCUAGGGGUCGAAUUGGAGCUGUAGCUACUGGCCUACACCAGAGCCACAGCAACACGGGAUCCAAGCUGAGUCUGCAACCACAGCUCACGGCAACGCCGGAUCGUUAACCCACUGAGCAAGGGCAAGGACCGAACCCGCAACCUCAUGGUUCCUAGUUGGAUUCGUUAACCACUGCGCCACAAGGGGAACUCCGAGAUUGAAGUUUUAAACUGGACGGGUCUAGGUUUAAAUAACUGAAUGAGGAGUUCUCAUUGUGGUUUGGUGGGUUAAGAACCCAGCUAGUAUCCAUGAGGAUGUGGGUUUGAUCCCUGGCCGUGCUCAGUGGGUGAAUGACCCAGUGUUGCUGUGGCUGUGGUGUAGGCCGGCAGCUGCAGCUUUGAUUCACCCCAUGGCCCGGAAACUUCCAUGUGCUGCAGAUGUGGCCCUAAAAGAAAAGACCAGAAGGUUAUUAAAACUGCCUGUGGUGUUAAAAAAGAGGAAAGAGGAAAGGGAAUGAUGAGGAAGAUUAAAAAGACCCAGAAUUUCUUCAUGCAACUACCUCAACAGGUUGAACCAAACUCCUCAGCAACCAGGUGUGCUAAGAAAAUGACCACUGGCCUCCCAUCUCCAUAGUGAGGCAUCCCUCCCACCUGAGCCGAAGAGAGCACCUGGGGACCAGAGCACCUGCCAAAGAGCCUGAGCUUCACCUUGACUGGGCCGCCUUGGCUGACAAGCCUCUCUUGAACCCAUCCCUGGACCGAAGAGGUGGCAGGUACUGAUUGUUCGAGCUCAGGUCAUAUUUCUACCCCUGGAGGUGGCCUCCCCGGGACCACAGCAUUCCCAGAAGGGAGGUGGGAACUGCAGGGAAGAAGGAAGGAAGGAUGAAUUGGGGGAAAUUUCGCGUUGGGGAAACUUUUGGCAUAAAGUUUCUGUCCCAGGAAGAGAGUGGAACCAAAACAAAAACGUACAGGAGUUUUAUAAUUCCCAGAAUAACAGCCAUUGACACGCUUAAAGAUGACACUAACGGGGGGGUUGGAGCAGCAGGGCAGAGUUAAAUAUCCCGGCAGUAAGGAAAAGGAGGCCCUGUUCCCCGGUGGCCCAGUGAAGGACUCAGCAUUGUCACCGCUGUGGCUGCUGUGGCUCAGUACAGGAACUUGCGCAGGCCGUGGGUGCAGCCAAAACAAACAAACGAGAAAGAUUUUUAAAAAGAAAGAACGAAACAGGCGGCCAGGAGAGCUCUGAGCUGAGGGCGAGCUCCUGGGGGCUGGGAGGGGCCUCUGGAUGAAGGGAGGGCAGGAAGGGGAGCUUCGGGACUAAAGGCACGUCUGAAGGGGAUUUUCCGAAGUGAAAUGGUGAAAGUGAAAGUGAAGGAAGCCAAGAGCAGAGCCCUCGCCCCCGUUUUCCCGUGUGAAAUCAGCAGUUACAGGGUCAGUCUCUUCGGCUGUGGGCAUGACGACCGAAUGCAAGGUGGCAGCCAGGACUGGGUCCUGGGACAAAAGUGGGACAUGGCUGCAAACGCUGGUGAAGUCCACUUACAGCCUCGAGUGUAGUUCAUAGCCACUGUUGGAGGUUCCCCCCACCCCCCGCCAAAAAAGAGAGAGAGAGAGAGAGACAAAAAAUAGUAAUUAAUGUCAAUUUCUUUGUUGUGAC
rnacentral:lncRNA from 9 species